AGUGAACGCUGGCGGUAGGCCUAACACAUGCAAGUCGAACGGCAACACAGUAAGAGCUUGCACUUACGGGUGGCGAGUGGCGGACGGGUGAGGAAUACAUCGGAAUCUACUUUUUCGUGGGGGAUAACGUAGGGAAACUUACGCUAAUACCGCAUACGACCUACGGGUGAAAGCAGGGGAUCUUCGGACCUUGCGCGAUUGAAUGAGCCGAUGUCGGAUUAGCUAGUUGGCGGGGUAAAGGCCCACCAAGGCGACGAUCCGUAGCUGGUCUGAGAGGAUGAUCAGCCACACUGGAACUGAGACACGGUCCAGACUCCUACGGGAGGCAGCAGUGGGGAAUAUUGGACAAUGGGCGCAAGCCUGAUCCAGCCAUACCGCGUGGGUGAAGAAGGCCUUCGGGUUGUAAAGCCCUUUUGUUGGGAAAGAAAAGCAGCAGGUUAAUACCCCGCUGUUCUGACGGUACCCAAAGAAUAAGCACCGGCUAACUUCGUG
rnacentral:rRNA from 1 species